AGAGCUUCUUGAGACUGGCCCUCACGGCCCAGCUUUGGGUAAAUUAUUGGCUCAAGAAUUCAGCUUUGAAUUCAAUCUUCCCAGAUAGGAUCCUCAUGGCCUCUAGUUUGGCCAUUCAGUCUUUCCAGGUAGGUUCCUCAUGGCCUCUCUCUUACUAGGCCAUUACUCUCCUUGUUUGCCUUGACUCCUGAAAGCUGUGUGUUUUGGUAUUUUUCCCCUACAAGCAAUUUUAACUUUCUUUUUUUGCAUAGACCAGCCAUGGCUCCCUGUGAUUUCAAUCCCAGCUCAAUAUCACAUUCCCUCAGACCAUGUUGUUUUAGCCUGGCCCUGACAUUCUUACAGCUAAUUUAUUCAUUUCUUGCCCUGAAAAACCUCUAAGUCUUAGCCCAGCCCUGGGAACAAGACAGGAUUAGUCUUGUGUGGAUUUUUGAACUUGACAGUUGAAGACUUUAGAUACCUAAAAUCAAACUCACUUGUGACCCAGGCCACUCAAUGCUACAAGUACACAGAGGGACAGUCCUUGGGUAUGUUGCUAUGUGACAUACAACAUGCAUGCUCAUUAGGAUCCCUCAUGAAGGCAGGCACUGACAUACUUACUCCUUUGAAACCCUAAAUUUAGACCAAAGGAAAUGUCACCUCAAAUUGGGCCCAUGGUCCAUCCAAAUCAGGCAAUAACAACAGCCAACAUCUGCUACAUGGUGCUGACAUUCUGCUAACCACUUCUCAAGCAUUUGCUUCCUUACUAUGGUUGUUCUCAAAACAAUCCUGAGGGGUGGAUAUCAUCAUCAACAGUUUACAAACAAGUAGGGAACUUAGAUAAAGCACGGAUCACCCUUGGACAAGUUUGAACUGCAUGGGUUAACUUACAGGUGAAUUUUUUUCAACAAAUAUAUUGGAAUAUUGUUUGGAGAUUUGUGAAAAUUUGAAAAAAACUCACAGACCAACGGUGUAGCCUAAAAAUAUCAAAAAA
rnacentral:lncRNA from 1 species